AGAUGAUGAUCCCAAGCCUUCUGGCGAUCUUUAAAAUGCGCCUUUAUUUUGGCUUUAAGGAAAGAAUAUUUCCGUUUUAUAAGAUUAUGCCGGGGAAGGUUUUCCGGUUUGUUCCGGAGGGCUUGUAGCUCAGUUGGUUAGAGCGCGCGCUUGAUAAGCGUGAGGUCGGAGGUUCAAGUCCUCCCAGGCCCACCAAUUUGAUUUAAGUGCUUAUAAAGUGCUUAUAAUGAGGUGCACAGAAGAGAUAUAUGAAGGCACUGUAAAGUGUGAAAGUAUAUAGGUUAUGUGCAGUUUAUCUAUCGCGCUGAAGUGAUUUAAACUCAGCUUUCGAUUAUGAGUUUUAAUCCUUUAUCCUAUUUUAGGGGCCGUAGCUCAGCUGGGAGAGCACCUGCUUUGCAAGCAGGGGGUCGUCGG
rnacentral:misc_RNA from 1 species